rnacentral:rRNA from 1 species
UGAGGAAUAUUGGUCAAUGGCCGGAAGGCUGAACCAGCCAAGUCGCGUGAGGGAAGACGGCCCUACGGGUUGUAAACCUCUUUUGCCGGGGAGCAACGGCCGGGACGCGUCCCGGAGUGAGAGUACCCGGAGAAAAAGCAUCGGCUAACUCCGUGCCAGCAGCCGCGGUAAUACGGAGGAUGCGAGCGUUAUCCGGAUUUAUUGGGUUUAAAGGGUGCGCAGGCGGAGGGUCAAGUCAGCGGUAAAAUAGUGAGGCUCAACCUCAUCGAGCCGUUGAAACUGGUCCCCUUGAGUGAGCGAGAAGUAUGCGGAAUGCGUGGUGUAGCGGUGAAAUGCAUAGAUAUCACGCAGAACUCCGAUUGCGAAGGCAGCAUACCGGCGCUCAACUGACGCUCAUGCACGAAAGCGUGGGUAUCGAACAGG